rnacentral:snoRNA from 1 species
AGGUCAUUUCAAAGAGGGCUUAUGUGCUGUGAAACCAACAGCUCUUAAUGUUAUGACCAACUAAAGUCUGAAGCUCUGUAUGGGAUGCCACAGAGAAGACAUAAGACUUAGUCCCUCAUAAUUAUAAAA